UUCUCCUUUUCCAGGGUGCAAUAGUUGAGCUCUCUGCUAAAAACCUGAAGGUAAUGGACCAGAUGCCUCCCUUGGUUCCAAGGCUUUUCAAACUGUGCUUGCACCCUCAGAUGGAGAACUCUAAGAAAACUGUCACUUUAUUUUUAAUCUAAACCUCCUCAGAGACAAAAGGUGAAAGUAAACAAUAUGAUGGGAGAUGACA